rnacentral:SRP_RNA from 1 species
AAAUGGGAAAGUCCUAUACGGCAUGCUCCUUGCGAAUCCCCCAGGGCUUGACCGCAGCAAGGGCAGCAGGUUGUAGCGGCGCGAUAUAGCAAGCUUUCCCACC